UCGGGAAUUUUGGGCAAUGGGCGAAAGCCUGACCCAGCAACGCCGCGUGAAGGAUGAAGUAUUUCGGUAUGUAAACUUCGUAAGAAUAGGAAGAAUAAAUGACGGUACUAUUUGUAAGGUCCGGCUAACUACGUGCCAGCAGCCGCGGUAAUACGUAGGGACCAAGCGUUGUUCGGAUUUACUGGGCGUAAAGGGCGCGUAGGCGGUGUGUCAAGUCAGUUGUGAAAUCUCCGAGCUUAACUCGGAACGGUCAACUGAUACUGUCACACUAGAGUACAGAAGGGGCAAUCGGAAUUCUUGGUGUAGCGGUGAAAUGCGUAGAUAUCAAGAGGAACACCUGAGGUGAAGACGGGUUGCUGGGCUGACACUGACGCUGAGGCGCGAAAGCCAGGGGAGCAAACAGGAUUAGAUACCCUAGUAGUCCCUGAGCGGGCUGGCAAGGCGCAU
rnacentral:rRNA from 1 species